UGAGGAACAUGACCUUCGGCGGGGGAUAGCCGGCCCAACGGCCGGGUAAUACCGCGUACGACCACAUGGGGACAUCCCUGAGUGGUGAAAGCAGCAAUGCGCCGAUGGAGUGCCUCGCGGCCUAUCAGCUAGUUGGUGAGGUAACGGCUCACCAAGGCGACGACGGGUAGCUGGUCUGAGAGGNCGGCCAGC
rnacentral:rRNA from 1 species